rnacentral:tRNA from 1 species
UCCCUGGUGGCUUAGAGGGUAAAGCAUCUGCCUGCAAUGUAGGAGACCCGGGUUUGAUUCCUGGGUCGGGAA